ACUGGCAUUAGUGGGACUUUUUUUUUUUUUUUUUUUAAUGUUAAAAGUCCCACUAAUGCCAGC
rnacentral:pre_miRNA from 1 species